rnacentral:sRNA from 1 species
AGUAGCUGUCUAAAGGUGGAUGAUGCCCUCCAUGCGCUUUCAGCCUGCCUGGUGGCUGGGCAGUCGAAAACGUCGCCAUCUAUUAAGCUCCUUUGACUGGGAGCAGGUGACGGGUAGAGACGGAAGUUCUGGGAAUCACCGGAGAAGGGAGGGAAGGGCUCCUUCCGGCCGCCUGCUCCCGGAGUCUUCGUGGGGAACGUGAGGUGAGAGCAGGCCGUGAAGAGUAGACACGACUGAUGACUUCAGGGAUGCUACGACUUUCUCUCCUGCCUGGGCAAGCCUCGGUAGUAAGAUUUCCAUAGUCCGUUUUGUAUGUGGUUUUGCAGAAACAUACCCCCUCUCUGCCCCAGGUUCAGUCGUCAGUAUCCAGCUACUUCCAAAAGCCUUGCCCAUGCCUUCUGGGAUGUUCAGCAAAUGUAUAAACACUUAAUAUCCCGACAAAGCUUGGCCUCUUCCUUCCCAAAUUACUUCCCAGGCUAUGCACCCGUUUUUGUUAAUGCAACCAACUUGGAAACUUU